CCUACGGGUGGCAGCAGUGAGGAAUAUUGGUCAAUGGACGAGAGUCUGAACCAGCCAAGUAGCGUGAAGGAUGACUGCCCUAUGGGUUGUAAACUUCUUUUAUAUGGGAAUAAAAUGUUCCACGUGUGGGAUUUUGUAUGUACCAUAUGAAUAAGGAUCGGCUAACUCCGUUCCAGAAGCCGCGGUAAUACGGCGGAUUGGAGCGUUAUCCGGAUUUAUUUGGUUUUAAGGGAGCGUAGGGCGGUUGUUAAGUCCGUCGUGAAAGUUUGCGGCUCAAACGUAGAAUUGCAGUUGAAACUGGCAGUCUUGAGUACAGUAGAGGUGGGCGGAAUUCGUGGUGUAGCGGUGAAAUGCUUAGAUAUCACGCAGAACUCCGAUUGCGAAGGCAGUUCACUGGACUGCAACUGACACUGAGGCUCGAAAGUGUGGGUAUCAAACAGGAUUAGAUACCCCGGUAGUC
rnacentral:rRNA from 1 species